UCGGAAUUAUUGGGCGUAAGGGCUCGCAGGCGGUUUCUUAAGUCUGAUGUGAAAGCCCCCGGCUCAACCGGGGAGGGUCAUUGGAAACUGGGGAACUUGAGUGCAGAAGAGGAGAGUGGAAUUCCACGUGUAGCGGUGAAAUGCGUAGAGAUGUGGAGGAACACCAGUGGCGAAGGCGACUCUCUGGUCUGUAACUGACGCUGAGGAGCGAAAGCGUGGGGAGCGAACAGGAUUAGAUACCCUGGUAGUCCACGCCGUAAACGAUGAGUGCUAAGUGUUAGGGGGUUUCCGCCCCUUAGUGCUGCAGCUAACGCAUUAAGCACUCCGCCUGGGGAGUACGGUCGCAAGACUGAAACUCAAAGGAAUUGACGGGGGCCCGCACAAGCGGUGGAGCAUGUGGUUUAAUUCGAAGCAACGCGAAGAACCUUACCAGGUCUUGACAUCCUCUGACGAUCCUAGAGAUAGGACGUCCCCUUCGGGGGCAGAGUGACAGGUGGUGCAUGGUUGUCGUCAGCUCGUGUCGUGAGAUGUUGGGUUAAGUCCCGCAACGAGCGCAACCCUUGAUCUUAGUUGCCAGCAUUCAGUUGGGCACUCUAAGGUGACUGCCGGUGACAAACCGGAGGAAGGUGGGGAUGACGUCAAAUCAUCAUGCCCCUUAUGACCUGGGCUACACACGUGCUACAAUGGACAGAACAAAGGGCAGCGAAACCGCGAGGU
rnacentral:rRNA from 1 species